GACUGGAAGGUUGGCAGCUUCUGUAAUCACGCUUCUGUGAGGUCUGAUUGUGGGAUGGCCUGAGGCUGGGAUCUACUGCGUAGCGGACCAGCUCAUGUUGACGGAACGUCCGCACUAAGCUUGCCAUCAAUAUGGGUGCCAUGGAGGAGUCCGUGGCAUUCAGGUUGGCUAAGGAGGGAUGAACCGGGCCAGGGGUGAAAACCAGCAGCCAAGAGUUCCCGUGGUAGGCAGUAGUGGGAUAGCGUACCGGAGUGGACUGCCGUUAUCAGCCCAACCGAUAUGGUUGGACCACAAUCUUU
ensembl:ncRNA 7SLRNA:CR32864 Signal recognition particle 7SL RNA CR32864